rnacentral:rRNA from 1 species
CGCGUAGGCGGCUAUACAAGUGACGGGUGAAAGCCCUCGGCUUAACCGAGGAACUGCCUGUCAGACUGUAUGGCUUGAGACCGGGAGAGGUGAGUGGAAUUCCCAGUGUAGCGGUGAAAUGCGUAGAUAUUGGGAGGAACACCAGUGGCGAAGGCGGCUCACUGGACCGGUACUGACGCUGAGGCGCGAAAGCGUGGGGAGCAAACA